rnacentral:lncRNA from 1 species
CGUGUUUAAGGGCUAGAGUAUUUACAUUCUUUUAUUCAUUCAUUAAAUCUGUGUUAUGUGUUAGACGAUAAGAUAAUGUCAAUACGUUUGACUAGAGGAGGAUGAACGGAUUAUCUUUAUAAAAAUGAUAUUUGUCGAUUCACUCUAGGCUUUCCAUGAUGUGGUUUGUCAUGUUUGCGCACUGUUUUUGUGUAUCUCUUGUCGUUUAAAUAAAUUCCCCCAUUAUGACGGUGCAGUCUCCC